UACGUAGGGCGCAAGCGUUGUCCGGAAUUAUUGGGCGUAAAGAGCUCGUAGGCGGCCAGUUGCGUCUGCUGUGAAAUCCCGGGGCUCAACCCCGGGUGUGCAGUGGAUACGGGCUGGCUAGAGGCAGGCAGGGGAGAACGGAAUUCCCGGUGUAGCGGUGAAAUGCGCAGAUAUCAGGAGGAACACCAAUGGCGAAGGCAGCUCGCUGGGACGGUACUGACGCUGAGACGCGAAAGCGUGGGGAGCAAACAGG
rnacentral:rRNA from 1 species